UACGAAGGGGGCGAGCGUUGUUCGGAUUUACUGGGCGUAAAGGGCGCGUAGGCGGCGUGACUAGUCACUUGUGAAAUCUCCGGGCUUAACUCGGAACGGUCAAGUGAUACUGUCGUGCUAGAGUACAGAAGGGGCAACUGGAAUUCUCGGUGUAGCGGUGAAAUGCGUAGAUAUCGAGAGGAACACCUGCGGCGAAGGCGGGUUGCUGGGCUGAUACUGACGCUGAUGCGCGAAAGCCAGGGGAGCGAACGGG
rnacentral:rRNA from 1 species